rnacentral:rRNA from 1 species
CACGUAGGGGGCAAGCGUUGUCCGGAUUUAUUGGGCGUAAAGAGCGUGUAGGCGGCCCGGUAAGUCCGCUGUGAAAGUCGGGGGCUCAACCCUCGAAUGCCGGUGGAUACUGUCGGGCUAGAGUGCGGAAGAGGCGAGUGGAAUUCCUGGUGUGAGCGGUGAAAUGCGCAGAUAUCAGGAGGAACACCAAUUGCGAAGGCAGCUCGCUGGGACGUAACUGACGCUGAGACGCGAAAGCGUGGGGAGCAAACAGG